UACGUAGGGGGCGAGCGUUGUCCGGAAUCAUUGGGCGUAAAGAGCUCGUAGGCGGUUCAGCAAGUCGGCUGUGAAAUUCCGAGGCUCAACCUCGGAACUGCAGUCGAUACUGCUGUGACUCGAGUCCGGUAGAGGAGAAUGGAAUUCCCGGUGUAGCGGUGAAAUGCGCAGAUAUCGGGAGGAACACCAGUAGCGAAGGCGGUUCUCUGGGCCGGUACUGACGCUGAGGAGCGAAAGCAUGGGGAGCAAACAGG
rnacentral:rRNA from 1 species